GACGAACGCUGGCGGCGUGCUUAACACAUGCAAGUCGAACGGAAAGGCCCUGCUUUUGUGGGGUGCUCGAGUGGCGAACGGGUGAGUAACACGUGAGUAACCUGCCCUUGACUUUGGGAUAACUUCAGGCAACUGGGGCUAAUACCGGAUAGGAGCUCCUGCUGCAGGGUGGGGGUUGGAAAGUUUCGGCGGUUGGGGAUGGACUCGCGGGUUAUCAGCUUGUUGGUGGGGUAGUGGCUUACCAAGGCUUUGACGGGUAGCCGGCCUGGGAGGGUGACCGGCCACAUUGGGACUGAGAUACGGCCCAGACUGCUACGGGAGGCAGCAGUGGGGAAUAUUGCACAAUGGGCGGAAGCCUGAUGCAGCAACGCCGCGUGCGGGAUGACGGCCUUCGGGUUGUAAACCGCUUUCGCCUGUGACGAAGCGUGAGUGACGGUAAUGGGUAAAGAAGCACCGGCUAACUACGUG
rnacentral:rRNA from 1 species